CCUACGGGCGGCAGCAGUGGGGGAUAUUGCACAAUGGGGGAAACCCUGAUGCAGCGACGCCGCGUGUGGGAAGACGGUCCUCUGGAUUGUAAACCACUGUCCCCAGGGACGAAGAUGACGGUACCUGGGGAGGACGCUCCGGCUAACUCCGUGCCCGCAGCCGCGGUACUACGUAGGGCGCGAGCGUUGUCCGGAAUUACUGGGUGUAAAGGGAGCGUAGGCGUGGAUGCAAGUUGGGUGUCAAAACUACCGGCUCAACUGGUAGUCGCACUCAAAACUGCAGCUCUUGAGUGAAGUAGAGGCAGGCGGAAUUCCUAGUGUAGCGGUGAAAUGCGUAGAUAUUAGGAGGAACACCAGUGGCGAAGGCGGCCUGCUGGGCUUUUACUGACGCUGAGGCUCGAAAGUGUGGGGAGCAAACAGGAGUAGAUACCCUUGUAGUC
rnacentral:rRNA from 1 species